rnacentral:rRNA from 1 species
GACGAACGCUGGCGGCGUGCUUAACACAUGCAAGUCGAACGAAGUGGCGAACGGGUGAGUAAUACGUGGGUAACCUGCCCUCCUUUUUGGGAUAAGCCUUGGAAACGGGGUCUAAUACCGAAUAAAGGGGGAGGGGAUCGCGGCCUAUCCGCUUGUGGGUGGGGUGAUGGCGUACCAGGGCGGUGACGGGGAGCCGGCCUGAGAGUGGGACCGGUCCCAUUGUGAAUGAGAUGCGGCCCAGACUCCUACGGGAGGAAGCGGUGGGGGAUAUGGCACAAUGGGCGAAAGCCGGAUCCAGCCAUGCCGCGUGUGUGAAGAAGGUCUUCGGAUUGUAAAGCACGUUAAGUUGGGAGGCGUUACCAACAGAAUAAGCACCGGCUAACUUCGUGCCAGCCGCCGCGGUAAUAC